rnacentral:rRNA from 1 species
AUCGAACGCUGGCGGCAGGCCUAACACAUGCAAGUCGAGCGGAAGAAGGGAGCUUGCUCCUGGAUUCAGCGGCGGACGGGUGAGUAAUGCCUAGGAAUCUGCCUGGUAGUGGGUGAUAACGUCCGGAAACGGGCGCUAAUACCGCAUACGUCCUGAGGGAGACAGUGGGGGAUCUUCGGACCUCACGCUAUCAGCUGAGCCUAGGUCGGAUUACCUAGUUGGUGGGUUACGGCCUACCAAGGCGACGAUCCGUAACUGCUCUGAUAGGAUGAUCAGUCACACUGGAGGUGAGACAGAGUCCAGACUACUAAGGGAGGCAGCAGUCAGGAAUAAUGGACAAUGGGGGAAAACCUGAUCCAGCCAUGCCGCGUGUGAGAAGACAGUCUUCGGAUUGUAAAGCACUUUAAGUUGGGGGGAAGGGCAGUAAGUUAAUACCAUGCUGUAGUGACGUUACCGAGAGAAGAAGCACCGGCUAACUACGUG